CCGCAUAACAUAUCUGACCGGCAUCGGUUAGCUAUUAAAUAUUUAUAGGAUAGAGAUGGGGCUCGCGUGACAUUAGCUAGUUGGUAGGGUAACGGCUUACCAAGGCGACGAUGUCUAGGGGCUCUGAGAGGAGAAUCCCCCACACUGGUACUGAGACACGGACCAGACUCCUACGGGAGGCAGCAGUAAGGAAUAUUGGUCAAUGGGCGGAAGCCUGAACCAGCCAUGCCGCGUGCAGGAUGACUGCCCUAUGGGUUGUAAACUGCUUUUGUCCAGGAAUAAACCUUUCUACGUGUAGGUAGCUGAAUGUACUGGAAGAAUAAGGAUCGGCUAACUCCGUGC
rnacentral:rRNA from 1 species